UCCCUGGGAUGGACUGGAGACCUGUCCAGGUGUCCCUGGGAUGGACUGGAGACCUGUCCAGGGUGGACUGGAUGAUGAUGCAGGCAGAGCAACCUGGACGGACUUUAAUGAAAACACCAUGAAGAAAUCUGAUCGAUCCCAUUCAAGAUGGCCGACACAGAGCUUCGUUACUGAAUCAGACUCGGACCCACGGGGACCCACAGGGACCCACGGGGACCCACAGGGACACGUCACAACAGUCUGGACUCCAUCGUCACCAAACAACAAACAGAACCGAGACGGACGAUGAAGAUGAAGCUCCUCGCUGCGUGUUCCACGACACGUCUUCAACAGAACCACACAUU